rnacentral:rRNA from 1 species
UACGUAGGGGGCAAGCGUUGUCCGGAAUCAUUGGGCGUAAAGAGCGCGUAGGCGGCCCAGUAAGUCCGCUCUGAAAGUCAGAGGCUCAACCUCUGGAUGCGGGUGGAUACUGCUGGGCUAGAGUCCGGAAGAGGCGAGUGGAAUUCCUGGUGUAGCGGUGAAAUGCGCAGAUAUCAGGAGGAACACCGAUGGCGAAGGCGGCAUCCUGGACCGGCAUUGACGCUGAGGAGCGAAAGCCAGGGGAGCAAACGGG